CAAGUAGUCCGCACUGAUUCCUAACACCAAACGGCAAGAUGGAGUCAAAACGAUCGCUGUCGAGUUUAUUCUACACUGGUUUCCUGAAAAAAGGUUCCGUUUGGGCGGCAGCAAUUAUGGUUAUGGCUGUUGGUGCAGACGCUUUUUUUAACUCUGCUGUAAAUUCUUUUUACGAAAAGCGGAAUAAAGGAUUGCUGUGGAAAGAUGUCAAACUCCAAGUUUGCAAGCCUGAAGAUUUAUGAUGGAUGUCUAUAGUGCACUGAAGACUUGAAAUUGAUUGAAAAGCACUUUUUAUGCUGUAUAUUAUGAUAAACCAAAUAUUUUCAUCGAGUAAAAAACUGCAGGACAUUGCCAACAGUUGGAUUAAAUACUACCACAUACCUACAGAUGUAUACAACAGAUAUGGAUUUGACACAAAGAAAAACAAAAUUUCAAAACUUGCCAAGACACUGAAGAAAUUUGCCUGAUGAUGUUACAAUAUCAGUUUUUGUAAAAUUAAAAGUGUAACAUUGACUGAACUGGAAAUUUCAUAUUAACUUUGUGCACAGUGUCUCAAGAACUGCAGUGCCACUUGAAAUCAGUUGUAAAUCACUAGCACAGGAACAUACCUUUGUUUUGUUUGUCAGUUUGUUCAAUAAAGGACUCGCGGCUAGCUUAAAAAUUUAUAAAUGUGUCAUGUAAAAUUUUUAAUUUAAAAUAUAUAUUAUAUAGUUCUAUGUACUGUUGCUGUUAUGCUGAUUUAGCUCCAGUUCAUAAAUACCAUUCCUAACAAUACUUGAAUUUGACCAAAAACAAUUUAUCAACACACCUGGCAAAAUGUUUUCUACAAAUGAAAAAAAAAAAAGAAUAUAAAAUUGCAGAAUCUUUAUUACAGAGUACAUUCUUCUUUCCUUCAAGUAUAACAAACAUUUUUUGAGAAAUCACAAUUUCUAAAUUGAAAGUAACAUCUAUAGUAUAUACCUUCUCUUUUUAAUUUCAUCUUAUACCUCUCACUGUUGUCUUUUUUAAAAUGAAAUAAUAUAAAUCAUCUUUCAAAAUGUUAUGAAAUAGAUAUUGCAAUAACUGUCACUGCAGUUGUAUGGAAUUGUGACACGAUUGUGUUGAAUAUGGGGCUUAACAUUUAAACGUAGUCAAAGAACAGGAUGUGUAGUCCUGUAUCCUCUUGAAGCUUUAACAAUAUUACCCUACAGACUUUCACUAUUGGGUCAAAGUCUGAAUCACUAU